CAGUAUGAUGAAAACCAGGAGCAGCACCAGACUGAACAGAAAAAGGAGAAGGAAAUGACCUUCCAGUGUUAUCUGUAA
rfam:Beta vulgaris subsp. vulgaris chromosome 6, whole genome shotgun sequence.